rnacentral:rRNA from 1 species
AGUGAACGCUGGCGGUAGGCCUAACACAUGCAAGUCGAACGGCAGCACAGUAAGAGCUUGCUCUUACGGGUGGCGAGUGGCGGACGGGUGAGGAAUACAUCGGAAUCUACCUUUUCGUGGGGGAUAACGUAGGGAAACUUACGCUAAUACCGCAUACGACCUACGGGUGAAAGCAGGGGAUCUUCGGACCUUGCGCGAUUGAAUGAGCCGAUGUCGGAUUAGCUAGUUGGCGGGGUAAAGGCCCACCAAGGCGACGAUCCGUAGCUGGUCUGAGGGGAUGAUCAGCCACACUGGAACUGAGACACGGUCCAGACUCCUACGGGAGGCAGCAGUGGGGAAUAUUGGACAAUGGGCGCAAGCCUGAUCCAGCCAUACCGCGUGGGUGAAGAAGGCCUUCGGGUUGUAAAGCCCUUUUGUUGGGAAAGAAAAGCAGCAGGUUAAUACCCCGCUGUUCUGACGGUACCCAAAGAAUAAGCACCGGCUAACUUCGUG